rnacentral:rRNA from 1 species
CAUACCUAUUCGAAGGGAUAGGGCCGGUUUGGCCGGAUUUCACACAGGUGUUGCAUGGCUGUCGUCAGCUCGUGUCGUGAGAUGUUGGGUUAAGUCCCGCAACGAGCGCAACCCUCAUCCUUAGUUACCAUCAGGUUAUGCUGGGGACCUUAAGGAAACUGCCAGUGAUAAACUGGAGGAAGGUGGGGAUGAUGUCAAGUCAUCAUGGCCCUUAUGGAGUGGGCUACACACGUGCUACAAUGGUGAUUACAAUGGGCUGCAAGGUCGCAAGGCUGAGCUAAUCCUAAAAAAUCAUCUCAGUUCGGAUUGUUCUCUGCAACUCGAGAGCAUGAAGUUGGAAUCGCUAGUAACCGUGGAUCAGCAUGCCACGGUGAAUACGUUCUCGGGUCUUGUACACACUGCCCGUCACGCCAUGGGAAUUGGUUUCACUCGAAGCU